AUGAUGGCUGUCACUGUGCAAAGAACACUGGACUCUCUAAGGAUACGGAAUGCAAGAGAAACUGAAGAUGAACUUGUCAGAGGGUGGCCACCUUUCGGACCAUCCCUGGGCUCCGACGUGCCUCCCUCUGCCUGCAUUCCCACUGGAUGCCUCCGGAGAGUUCUUCUUUCCCAUUCCAGCUUUGCAUUUGGAAUCCAGUUCUGUCUCGACCCCUUUUUAAACUUUUCUUUCAACAAGUUCAAAGUCCUUUACAGUUUUUCCUGAGCUUCUUUUUCUCACGCAUAUAUAUUUUUAGAGAAUAAACAGAUGGGAAGAGUCUGAAGAUACA
rnacentral:lncRNA from 13 species